rnacentral:rRNA from 1 species
GACCAAGAAGUCUAACAUGUGUGCGAGUCAUUGGGUAUAUUGUUGAAACCUAAGGGCGCAAUUAAAAUAACUAUUUUAUGGGAUUACAAGUGAAUUAAAUUUCAUUUCUUCAUCCCGGGGCGUUCUAUACGAACAUGGUGCAAGCAAUUGAACCCACUGUUCAAGAGCGUACCUUGAGCAUACAUGCUGUGACCCGAAAGAUGGUGAACUAUACCUGAUCAGAUCGAAGCCAGGAGAAAUUCUGGUGGAGGAUCGAAACAGUUCUGACGUGCAAAUCGAUUGUCAGAAUUGGGUAUAGGGGCGAAAGACCAAUCGAACCAUCUAGUAGCUGGUUCCCUCCGAAGUUUCCCUCAGGAUAGCUGGCGCAAAGAAUUAUAUUGUAUAUAAUCUUAUCUGGUAAAGCGAAUGAUUAGAGGCCUUGGGGCCGAAACGACCUCAACCUAUUCUCAAACUUUAAAUGGGUAAGAACCUCAUCUUUCUUGAUCUGAAGAUAUUGGGGUUUAGAUAUAUUGUGCCCAGUGGGCCACUUUUGGUAAGCAGAACUGGCGCUGUGGGAUGAACCAAACAUGAUGUUACGGCGCCUAAAUUAAUGACUCAUAUUGAUACCAUGAAAGGCGUUGGUUGCUUAAAACAGCAGGACGGUGGACAUGGAAGUCGUAAUCCGCUAAGGAGUGUGUAACAACUCACCUGCCGAAGCAACUAGCCCUUAAAAUGGAUGGCGCUCAAGUCAUAUGCCUAUACAUCAUCGCUAGAAUAAAAAUUGUUGACCGUUUGGUCAUCAUUAUGAAAUUCUAGUGAGUAGGAGGGUACAAUGGUGUGCGCGGAAGUGUUUGGCGUGAGCCUGCAUGAAGCCGCCAUUGGCACAGAUCUUGGUGGUAGUAGCAAAUAAUCGAAUGAGAUCUUGGAGGACUGAAGUGGAGAAGGGUUUCGUGUGAACAGUGGUUGAUCACGAGUUAGUCGGUCCUAAGCUUUAUGCGAAAGCUGUUUAAUUUAUGUUACAUACAGAGAAAACUUUUGUUGUACAUAAUUCAAUAAAAGCGAAAGGGAAUACGGUUCCAAUUCCGUAACCUGUUGAGUAUACGUUUGUUUAUUAAAAAUGGGUCUUAUUACACUCAUCCUGGCAACAGGAACGACCAUAGAGAAGCCUUCGAGAGAUACUGGAAGAGUUUUCUUUUCUGCUAAACAAACGUAUCACCAUGGAAGUCUUUUAUAGAGAGAUAUGGUGAAUGGCUUGGAAGAGCAUGACAUUUACUGUUGUGUCAGUAUUUUCUCCUUGGACCUUGAAAAUCUAUGGUGGGGCCACGCAAACUUUCUCAACAGACCGUACCGAUAUCCGCAG